GCCAGAGCUGGAGGACCUGAGUGGCUCCAGGAAGUCAGAGCUGCUGGUCAAGUCUGGUUAAAUCUGGAGUUUUUUCUUUCCUUUUUUUUUUUUUUUUUUCCUCCCUACCCUCCCUCUCUUGCACACUUCAUCAAUUUCUAAUAUAAAAACCAAACCACUUCCUUAUUUUCAUCAUUUAAUUUUGAACUGGAUGGGAAUUCUCCCUGUGUCCUCAGAAUGAUGGGGGCAGAAAGCUCAUUUAUCAAAGCUCUGCAAUGAACAAAGCCAGAGCAGAGCAGCAUAAGCAUAAUUAACAAGGAAAAAAUGGAGCUUGUGGCUUGAUGUUGAUGGAUACAAAAUGUGCCACAAAGGCAACAAAGCUUUGAGAAUGCUUUGAACAUAAAACCAGUCUCACGGGAUGAACAAUUCCAUGCCAGAGAGUAAAUUCAGGCUAAGAUGGAUAAGCUCAACUAUCAUGAUGGCCAUACAGCUGCAGCAGUGGAGGAUCUAAGCAAAACUAAGACUGCCAGUUGGACUGAAGUUCAGCUUCUCUGGGAAUAGCUCCAAGACCACCGACCACCAGGUGUGCAGAGCCCUCUACCAUCUCCAGGACAAGGUGGAGUCCCGUGGUCAUGGCUGGACUCGGACAAGGGUGCUUCAGAUGGAAAUAUUCAGAUGCAGAACCAGCAAUUCUACCUCCCUGGGAGAAGACACUGAGGAACUGCCAUCAACUUGCAUGUGUUUGCAGCGUGUCUUCCAGGAUACCCACAGCUUGAUUCACAUUCUCACUGGAAAGGGGGAACAGCUUCCCAGAGCCUGUGACAGGAUCACCUUUAUGCCGAGAAAGGUGACCUGUGACACAAGGACACUUGACAACACUACUGAAGUGAUGCACCUCAGCUGCUGCAACUGGCCUCUGUCAUCAAAUAGGAUUUUCUGCCUACUGGAUCAUUGCUAA
rnacentral:lncRNA from 1 species